rnacentral:rRNA from 1 species
AACGCGAAGAACCUUACCAAGGCUUGACAUCCUCUGGUCGCUGUAGAGAUACAGCUUCCCUUCGGGGCAGAGAGACAGGUGGUGCAUGGUUGUCGUCAGCUCGUGUCGUGAGAUGUUGGGUUAAGUCCCGCAACGAGCGCGACCCCUAUCUUUAGUUGCCAGCGAGUAAUGUCGGGAACUCUAGAGAGACUGCCGUGGACAACACGGAGGAAGGUGGGGACGACGUCAAAUCAUCAUGCCCCUUAUGUCUUGGGCUACACACGUGCUACAAUGGCCGGUACAAAGGGCAGCCAAGUGGUAACACUGCGCGAAUCCCAAAAAGCCGGUCCCAGUUCGGAUUGUGGGCUGCAACCCGCCCACAUGAAGUCGGAGUUGCUAGUAAUCGCGAAUCAGCAUGUCGCGGUGAAUGCGUUCCCGGGUCUUGUACACACCG